GGGAUGGAUUGGGAGGGGAUUGGAAGGGACUGGGAUGUACUGGGAAUGGCCCCAUGCCCCUGGGGAUGUCCCCAUGUCCCAGUAAUGUCCCCCCGUGUCCCCUCCCCUCCCUGAUCCCCGUUUUUUCCCUUUUUUCCAGAAAAAACAGAGUGAGUGACACCGGAGCCACCUCCUCCUCCUGGGUGACCCCCACCCCCCCUUGGUGUCACCUUGGUGUCCCCCCGGUCCCUGGGGUGUCCCCUGGUGGGGACAGAGGGGACACGGGGGGGGGUGGCACAUCCCAAAAUCCCGAUUUUCCCGCAGUGCCGGAGGGAAGAAGGUGAUUUACAGCCAGCCCUCGCAGCGCAGCGAGGGCGAGUUCAAGCAAACCUCCUCGUUCCUGGUGUGACGUCGUCCCCGCCACCCCCCGGACACUUUUUCCCAAUUCCUGGAAUCCCGCGGGAUUUGGGGAAUUCCGCAAGAUUUUACGAGAUCCACGGGAUUUCGGGAAUUCUGUGGGAUUUUGGGAAAUUUCCUGUGGCGUUUGGGAAUUCCCGCCGGGUUUUUGGGAAUUCCCGCAGGAUUUUUGGAAAUUCCCGCGGGAUUUUCAGAAUUCUGCAGGAUUUGAGGAAUUUCCUGUGGGAUUUGGGAAUUCCCGCAGGAUUUUUGGGAAUUCCCGCAGGAUUUUCGCCGCGUUUUUUUUAAAGCCUCUCCGGUGCCUUCGCCGCCGCUGCCUCUGGAAUUUGGGGGUCCCCGUGUCCCCUCUUUGUCCCCUGUUUGUGUCCCCCAUUGUCCCCUCCCAUUCUCCCCUUGUCCCCCUCUUUGUCCCCCCCAUUGUCCCCUCCCCUCGUUCCCCCUUUUUGUCCCCCAUUGUCCCUCCCUGUCCCCUCACUGUCCCCGGGGGGCUCUGGGGGGGGGCCGGGCUGGUGCCACCACCUGGGGACAGCGCCAGUGUCCCACUGGUCCCAGUGUCCCCCCCAAACUGGGAGCGUGGGGGGGGGGUACUGGAAAUAAACCUGUGUCCUUUACCUGGCCUGG
rnacentral:lncRNA from 14 species